rnacentral:rRNA from 1 species
AGAGUUUGAUUAUGGCUCAGAUUGAACGCUGGCGGAAUGCUUUACACAUGCAAGUCGAACGGCAGCACGGGUGCUUGCACCUGGUGGCGAGUGGCGAACGGGUGAGUAAUGCGUCGGAACGUACCGAGUAAUGGGGGAUAACGCGGCGAAAGUCGCGCUAAUACCGCAUACGCCCUGAGGGGGAAAGUGGGGGAUCGCAAGACCUCACGUUAUUCGAGCGGCCGACGUCUGAUUAGCUAGUUGGUGGGGUAAAGGCCUACCAAGGCGACGAUCAGUAGCGGGUCUGAGAGGAUGAUCCGUCACACUGGGACUGAGACACGGCCCAGACUCCUACGGGAGGCAGCAGUGGGGAAUUUUGGACAAUGGGGGCAACCCUGAUCCAGCCAUUCCGCGUGAGUGAAGAAGGCCUUCGGGUUGUAAAGCUCUUUCAGCUGGAACGAAACGGUACGCUCUAACAUAGCGUGCUAAUGACGGUACCGGCAGAAGAAGCACCGGCUAACUACGUGCCAGCAGCCGCGGUAAUACGUAGGGUGCGAGCGUUAAUCGGAAUUACUGGGCGUAAAGCGUGCGCAGGCGGAUUGUUAAGCAAGACGUGAAAGCCCCGGGCUUAACCUGGGAAUGGCGUUUUGAACUGGCAGUCUAGAGUGCGUCAGAGGGGGGUGGAAUUCCACGUGUAGCAGUGAAAUGCGUAGAGAUGUGGAGGAACACCAAUGGCGAAGGCAGCCCCCUGGGAUGACACUGACGCUCAUGUACGAAAGCGUGGGUAGCAAACAGGAUUAGAUACCCUGGUAGUCCACGCCCUAAACGAUGUCAACUGGUUGUUGGGGGAGUGAAAUCCCUUAGUAACGAAGCUAACGCGUGAAGUUGACCGCCUGGGGAGUACGGUCGCAAGAUUAAAACUCAAA